rfam:Croceibacter atlanticus HTCC2559, complete genome.
UAUCUUUGCGGCUUGGUAGAACGUCUGCCAUGUACAUGAUAUUCAUUGAAACAAUUUUGGAAUG